CUGCCUGCCAAACACAAGGGUCAUCAAUAAGGAUAACCCCCAAGGCCAAAAUCUCAGCCCCCAUUCCCAUGUUCUCCUAUUCCAGAUAGUGAUGUAACUGCAAAUGGGAGGGGGUGUCCCAGCAGAAGAACUCCCCUGGUGUUUAGAGGAGGUAGCCAAAGCUACCAUCUUCCUGCCCAGAGAGCAUAAUAACAAACAUUCUUUGUGUUCUUAAUAUAUGCCAGGCAUCCUUCCAUGCUAUUUACAUGAAUUAACUUACUAAAUCCUCAGAACAACACCAGAGUGUAGGUAAAAUUAUUAUCUCUAUUUUGAGGACAUUUAGGGAAGGUUAAGUAAGUUGCCCAAGGUUAUACAACUAAUAAUUUUCAGAGCUCACAUUUGAACUCUGACCCUGUACCCUUUUUUUUUUAAGAUUUUAUUUAUCUAUUUGACAGAGAUAGAGACAGCCAGCGAGAGAGG